GCGGAAAUAGCAACACGUCUUAAUUUUAGUAGAAUCAGGGCAACGCGGCCACGAACAGAAAUAGAGGAUGGAGAGACGCGGAGCACGCGUGUUCGUUCCUUCAAUAUUAUCCGCGUAGGGCACAAGUUUAGCGAUCCAGAGGUGAUCGUGCUCCCUCGCCGCUGUUGGUGCAACAACCGAUCUCGCGAGUGCAGUGUCCCGGUGCAAAUAUUGCAUAAUUGUUGUGUAAAACUAUGCCACAAUAUUUAUGCUCCUCUACGAAAAGUGCAAAAUAUCAGUGUCCCCUGAGAAUAAUUACUACACAAGACGAAGAUGUUGAAGGGACGUGGCCGCGAUAUUAAAACCUCUAUACCGGGUACUCCCACGCUUGGAUUGCGGUCGUCGAUUCGAGCUCCAAUCGCAAAGCCUGAGCCUGACUAUGAAGUGGUCGAGUUUCCCUCCGAGCAGUAUGUAAACGCGAAAUUGCAACCACCACCUCCACCACCACCACGGCCACCAACAGGACACCCGACUGACACAUCAUGCGGCUUAUGCGGUGGCGGCGGAGCACGCGUGCGCUGCGCGGAGUGCGGCCGGCGCGCGCUUUGCGCGUCCUGCGAUGACAUGUACCAUCGACAUCCUAAACGAAGGAACCACCAGAGACAGGCAUUGCCACCAUCGCAGCUAAGGGAUGAAAGGCCACCUCUGCCACCAAAAGGAACGCCGCCUGUGCCACCGCCACGAAGACAUAAGAUUGAUCGGGCUUCAGCUAGCCCAAAACCUCCAGCAGUAGAUCAGAUACGAACUCCCAUAAAUAUGAUGCACAAUAUCCAAAAUCACAUCAGUCAAGUAUCGACUCUUCCACAUAUGAAUUUUGUAACUCCUCGUGCUCAAAUACCACCCCAACAGCUAACAUCGCAUUCAAAUUCGCAUAUCGGUAGUAUGCCGAAUUUUACGGGAAGUAUGCAUCAAAAUAAUGCUCUGCCAGAACCAGCCCUUCAAAAUUCUCAGGCGGGAUUUUCUUCAUGGGGUCGCCCGCGAGCCUCAUUACCCGGUUAUAAUAUGCCACCUCAAGCUAUGCCUCAACAUAUCGAACAUUGGGAUGGUCAAGAAAACCUUCACACUCAAAGCUGGGGACGUCCAUUAAGACGUGGAGCUUCAGUAAUGGAAUUAGGAGGUCCAGGCGGUUAUCCUCCAUAUCAGCCAAAUCCUUGGCAUUACGGUAGUUGUGCCAAUUUAGAACAUACGUGGGGAGGGCAGGGACCUUGGCCUCAGUCAUGUUGUUAUCCACCAGGAGCAACUGCUAGCCCGCGCCUGCUCCCACACCCACACGCCCAUGUGCCACAUACGCCACAACCAUACCGAAGAGUGGAGAGUCGUGCCGUGUCGAGAGCUGCAUCUAGAGCUAAUUCACGAGCACCAUCUCCUGCUUUGAGUAUGAGAUCACGUGCUUCUCGACGUACAAAACACCGGACUCCUUCGCCGUCUUUACCAUCCAGUGAUGCGGAUUCUGAAAGUGAACCUGAAAGUGAAAAGCCAGACGCAACAGAAAAUGACGAAAAUGAUCUAGGUCCGGCACCGCCACCACCGAGUGCUACAUGGCAAUGUGAACAUUGUACAUUUGUUAAUGAACCAGGUGUUAGAGUAUGUGCAGUGUGUUGCCGUACUCCUACGAUCACACCAAAAAUUAUUCCAACUCCUGUUAUUAAAAAUGGAAUGGCAAAUUUGACAAUAAAGGCAAAAGCAUCGACUCAUUUGAUAAAAAAAAAGGUUGAUGAACCUCGUACUAAUCAAAAUGAGAUUAAAAAGUCAGAUCGUACCGCAAAAGAGCGAGUGUCCACAGGUUGUGGCCCUUCUCCACCGAAAGAAAUAAAAGUUUCGAAUGUAAAUCGUUUGGAAACUCCAACAAAGGAAAAGAAUAAUGAUGAUUCCCAUUCUCGUCAUGAUAUUGCCGUUGGACCUUCUCCACCUAAAGAAUUACAAAAGAAACAAAAUAAUAAUAUGGACAAUAAAACUACUCCAACACAAACGCGCAAUGUCUCAGUAGAAAAUGAAAAAAAUAAAAAGCAUAGCGUAUCUGUAGGUCCUUCUCCACCUCGUUUAAGUCCUGUUGCCAAAGACAGAGGAGUAAAUGAAUACGAUCAUGGAGUUCAAAAAAAGUCCGUUGGAAUCUCGCCGUCACGAGAAAAUAAUAUGAGGCCGGAAUCAAGAUUUAGUCAAGCAAGCGUUUCCAAUACUGGGACAUCUCCACCACCCCAAAAUAUUUCAACGCAGACUUAUGACGUUCCGAAUCAAUGGGAUAGACCCUCUUCGACUACCCGAUCUCGACCACGGCGCCGAUUUACGGAUGAGAGUCGAAGAGAACGAUCGCAUAGUAGGCAUUCACUUUCAAGUGAUACUCGAGAGAGUGAACGAAGCAUACGUACAAGCGGUGGGAGAUGGGAAUGGAGAGAGCCACGUGAUAGUAGCCCUGGAGGAGCAGAGUGGAGCGAGAAUGAACGUAAACGUACAACAAGCCGCCUUACAAGACGUGCAUCGCAUCUUGAUUUAAGGCGAAAUAGACCUUCUCGGAGGUCUAGUUUAUAUGGCUCAGAAGCUCCUUCACCAGAACCAUUUUCAAACAAUCGUGCUAAUUCCUUAGAAGCGUUAGCAGGUGCUAAUUCAAGACGCGAGGCGGAAAGAGGAUUGGAACUGGCUCGCCUUAUGUCUGAAGCUGAAAGACUAGGCUUUAGUGCGGCGGAAGUACAGGCAGCAUUAGCUCAGAAUCCUGUAGCUCCAUUAUCAUGGCUAAGAGAACGAUGGCCAAGCUUAUGUGCAGGGGUCAGAGCAGCUGCCGCAAGAUUAGCAUCUGGUAUAAAUGUAUCAGAACUGGAAGCUCGUGCAGCUCUAGCACGGCACAGGGGAGCUAUGUGGCCAGCUGUCACAGAGUGUGUUGAGCGACAUCGUAGACAGAUGGGUGAUAUCGGAGUUGGUGAGGAGAGGAAAUUACGUGGUCGCGUAUGGGGCUCUCCUGUUGGAGCUGAUGAUGAGGCCACUCCUCCAUCGUUUUCGAACCGGUCACACCGCAGCCGCGCCGAGGACAGUUCAGACGAAUUCGAUGUUUCUGCAAAUAAUCUCCAAGAUGACGACUGGAUGUAUUUACCGUUAGAUAUAAGAGACAAAAAUAUGCCGGAAAUUGAGCAAAAACCUUUACUUAAAGAAACAUUUAAUACAACACCCGAAAAUGUACAAGAUAUUGCAGAUAAAUUAAAAGCACUGUUAAAUCUUGCUGGAAUACCUUCUAUAGAAGAAAAUUUAUUAUUAAAAGGUUUAACAGUGAAAGGCUUAACUAAAAAUAUGAGAGAUACUAAAUCUGAAGAUACUCCUGUAGAAGAAAAGGAAAAUUUAAUGGAAUUUGUUCAAUCGGAAAAAGAUUUUAUCGAAGCAUAUAAUGCUUUAACGCGAUUAAGUCCAUUGCCAAACAUUGAAAUGAAAAACAACCCAGCUAUCGUCGAUUUAAACGGAAAUAGAAAUGAUAAUUUUGAGUCGGUCAGUCAAAUAAUUGAAACAAAUAACACACAAACAGAAAAAUAUGAAGAAAAUUCACAAAAACAAACACAAUUAAAGGGAACUUCUAUAAAACAAUUGGAGCAUGAUGAGAUUAAUCUACGAUCAGAAAACAAUCAUUCUGCCAAAUUAAUAAAUCACAACACAAAUAUUUCUCAAGAACAACGAUCAAACAAUCUGAGUGAUUUAGUUGAUAAUACACAAAAAUUAAUUCAACAAAUGAAAGAUGAAAUUGCGUAUGAUAUAAACUCUACUCACGACUCUGCAGAUACUGAAUCAACUUCUAAUAAUUCUGAGGUAUCCGUACAUCAAGAAUCAAGUUAUAGCGAGUCAGACAAUAAUACUGAGGAUUUGACAUCUGAUGAAAAAGAAAUUACAAGUAGCGAUGAAGAAAUCAUGCACGAUAAUUUAAAAAUUGAAAAUAAAGAUUUUACUAGUUCGGAAGACACCGAGCAGUUUGAAGAAGCUAUUGAUUAUAUUGAAGCACCUAUAGAUGUGCAAGAUAAUAAUAUAAAACCAUUAGGUUCGGAAGCUCAAACAUUACGUUAUGAACAAACAAUAACGGUAGAAAGUAGCCCACAGUUAUCUAAAAUAGAAGAUGUUAAUAACAACUUUUUUGAAGUUGUAAAUUCAUUUGAUGAAAUUUAUGAACAAAUCAACAACGAUGAUAAUUUUGCUAAACAUAUUGAAAGCGAAAUUGUAGUAAAAAAUAAAUGUAAACCUGAUAAAGAAAUAAUUAAUCAAUCUACUAAGGAAACAUUGUAUAAAACUCACUUUAAAGUAGGAACGCCUUCAAAAUUGGUUAUAACUGAACUAAAAUAUCCGGUAUAUAAAGGUUUUAUUGAAAAUAUAUGUGCAGAACAUGUAAUAUCAAAUAAAGAAACCAAAACAACAUCAAAUAAUGCAGAAAAAGAGAUUAAAAAUACUAUUAAUAAUAGUAACAACUAUUUAGAAACUUUGAAUAUAACUUUGAUUCCCGAGGCUUCAAACACAUUUGAACAAAAAAACAGUACACAUAAUCAGUUACAGGGCGAACAAGCCAACGAGUCUGCUGAUCUUGAUGUAGUAGAAAAAGUUAAUGAAAAUCAGGACAUUAUUGUCGAGAACUCUAAUACCAACGAUAUUACCGAGAUGAACAUUGACAAAGCAAUUGAUAAUAAUUCAUCGAAACAGUCACCGAUAAUUAAAUCCAAUAUACCAAUACUUGUUAAAACGACUGUCAAUAAACAAAAGUUAGAUAAAAAUCAAAAGGCAACAAAUUCUAAAUUGCCUAUAAGACGUACUUCUAUAAAACAGUAUCCUGCACCCUCUCCACCCAAAACACAUUUUGGCACCGUGCAAAAUGGAAGCGUCAAGCAGUUACAAACAAAAUUGUUUAAUAAUAAAACAUUACCAAAUAAUGACAAAUCAUCUCAUACUAUUGAAGUGAAACCAUCUACAUCAGCAAUAACAGUAAAGAAAAAUCCAGCUCCACAGCCACCCCCAUUACAACAAAUAUCUCCACCAAAAACCACAAUUACAGAAAAAGAACAAUAUUUUCGUGAAACAUGUCGUACCGAAGAUGAAUGGACCGAUACGGAAUCUGAUGAAGAUAACAAGCCAUCACAAGACAGAAGAGAAAUAACGCCCACACCUGAGUUACCCUCACCUCCGCCAAUAACAACGCGUCGAAUAUCUGGACAGUUAAUUGAUUUAACUCGAAUACAAUUACCUGAAGGUUCCCCAGAGAGACAAGCUCGAAUGCUCUUAGCAGAGGGUGCUACGGAGAAUUGGGAACAAGCACAAAUUGCCGUUGAAUUGAUUGCUCGUGGAACCGAUGCCCCUACUGCACUUUUAGCCGCUCUCGAAUGUGCAGAUCUUGUUUCUGCACUAGCUUACUUAAAUCAAUACUGCGAGCUUUGUGCCGCACAUUUCCCAGAACACGAAAUGGUAUCAAUGUUACGAUGCUCUCAUAGAUGCUGUCGAGAAUGUGCUCGCCAUUAUUUUACAGUUCAAAUCACGGAGCGGAGCAUAGUAGACUGCGUUUGUGCAUACUGCAAGGAACCUGAGUUGGAAAUAUUGGAUGAAGAUACUUGGGUCGAUUAUUUUGCUCAUUUAGAUAUACUACUGAAAACUCUACUUGAAACAGAAGUUCAUGAACUAUUCCAGAGAAAGCUACGCGAUCGCACGCUUGCUCGAGAUCCGAAUUUCCGCUGGUGCGUUGAAUGUUCUUCAGGAUUUUUUGUGCAUCCAAAGCAGAAAAAGCUGCGAUGCCCCGAAUGUAAGUCUGUUACCUGCUCGACAUGUCGAAAACCCUGGUCAUCGAAUCAUGAUGGUAUGACGUGCGAACAAUAUGCCGCAUGGCUUGAAGAUAACGAUCCUGAACGAUCUAUUGCUGCAGUCCAACAACAUUUAAAAGAGAAUGGUUUAGAAUGCCCACGAUGUCGUUUUAAAUAUUCACUUUCCAGAGGCGGAUGUAUGCAUUUCACAUGCACCCAGUGCAAAUAUGAAUUUUGCUACGGUUGCGGUAAACCAUUCAUGAUGGGAGCUCGAUGUGGAUUGAGUGAAUAUUGCGCUAAAUUAGGUCUACAUGCACAUCAUCCACGAAAUUGUCUUUUCUAUUUACGGGACAAAGAACCUCAUGAGUUACAAACACUAUUACAGAUGAAUAAUGUUACUUAUGAAACAGAAGGACCACAAGGUAACAGUACAAGAUGCCCUAUACAACUACAGAGAGAGACACCUACCGGACUAAUUGACACCACAUGUGGUAGUGAAGUUUUACCUAAGCAUGGUGGACUUUGCAAGAACCAUUAUUUGGAGUAUCUGAGUCGGUUGGUGCGUAACAAGAAAAUCGACCCGAUGCCAAUCUUGGGUGUAGACGAUUUGGAAACACUAGUGCGCCGAGCAGCGUUGAGACCACCACCACGCCCCUACGGUUCAUUAGAUGGCCUCUACAAACGAGGCCUGAUUGAGGUGUGUUUACGUCAUAUAUUUUUACAGGAUGCACUACGUGGAGUAUUUGGCUGGCUUGGCGCGUACUCUUGACCCAAUCCCUAUAAUGGAAGUGAGCGAGUUAGUGGCAGAGCUGCGUCGACGCGCACUGCCUUUACCAGAAAGGGGACCUUGGGAUACAGAUCCUAUUUAUGCUGGAAUGUGCGCAGAGAUUGUUAAGGAGAAGAUUCCACUGGACUGAAAAAAAAUACGAAAAGCAAAAUAUUUAUAUUCAAAAGAAGCAUUGUUCAAUCUUAUUUAUUUAUAUAAAUCGUAUCGCAUUUGUCAUCAACUUAUUUUAAGUUCACCAU
rnacentral:misc_RNA from 1 species